AUGAACGCUGGCGGCGUGCCUAAUACAUGCAAGUCGAGCGAACAGACGAGGAGCUUGCUCCUCUGACGUUAGCGGCGGACGGGUGAGUAACACGUGGAUAACCUACCUAUAAGACUGGGAUAACUUCGGGAAACCGGAGCUAAUACCGGAUUAUAUAUUGAACCGCCUGGUUCAAUAGUGAAAGACGGUUUUGCUGUCACUUAUAGAUGGAUUCGCGCCGCAUUAGCUAGUUGGUAAGGUAACGGCUUACCAAGGCAACGAUGCGUAGCCGACCUGAGAGGGUGAUCGGCCACACUGGAACUGAGACACGGUCCAGACUCCUACGGGAGGCAGCAGUAGGGAAUCUUCCGCAAUGGGCGAAAGCCUGACGGAGCAACGCCGCGUGAGUGAUGAAGGUCUUCGGAUCGUAAAACUCUGUUAUUAGGGAAGAACAAAUGUGUAAGUAACUAUGCACGUCUUGACGGUACCUAAGCAGAAAGCCACGGCUAACUACGU
rnacentral:rRNA from 1 species